UACGUAGGGUCCGAGCGUUGUCCGGAAUUAUUGGGCGUAAAGAGCUCGUAGGCGGUUUGUCGCGUCUGCUGUGAAAUCCCGAGGCUCAACCUCGGGUCUGCAGUGGGUACGGGCAGACUGGAGUGCGGUAGGGGAGAAUGGAAUUCCUGGUGUAGCGGUGGAAUGCGCAGAUAUCAGGAGGAACACCAAUAGCGAAGGCAGCUCGCUGGGACGGUACUGACGCUGAGGCGCGAAAGCGUGGGGAGCGAACAGG
rnacentral:rRNA from 1 species